AUGCUCAUUUUGGCAGCACAUAUACCAAAAUUGGAAUAAUACAGAGAAGAUUAGCAUGGCCCCUGUGCAAGGAUGAUACACAAAUUCAUGAAUCAUUUCAUUUUUAC
rnacentral:snRNA from 1 species